rnacentral:rRNA from 1 species
AUUGAACGCUGGCGGCAUGCUUUACACAUGCAAGUCGGACGAGUGGCGGACGGGUGAGUAACAUCUCGGAACGUACCGAGUAAUGGGGGAUAACUAAUCGAAAGGUUAGCUAAUACCGCAUAUUAUUCGAGCGGCCGAUAUGGGAUUAGCUGGUUGGUGGGGUAAAGGCCUACCAAGGCGACGAUCCGUAGCUGGUCUGAGAGGAUGAUCCGCCACACUGGGACUGAGACACGGCCCAGACUCCUACGGGAGGCAGCAGUGGGGAAUUUUGGACAAUGGGCGCAAGCCUGAUGCAGCCAUGCCGCGUGUCUGAAGAAGGCCUUCGGGUUGUAAAGUACUUUUGGCAGGGAAGCGGUACCUGCAGAAUAAGCACCGGCUAACUCCGUGCCAGCAGCCGCGGUAAUAC